rnacentral:rRNA from 1 species
AAACCUCACGUCCAAGUCAAGAUUACCCGCUGAACUUAAGCAUAUCCAAUAAAGCC